UUUUAGGUGUUUGAUCCGUGACGUUUCGUCGAAAAAUCACAAGCGCGCAUGCCGUAGGUGUUUGCCUGGUUGCAAGAUCUUGCCGAUUUCAACGUUUUUCCACCUCUUCGGUAAGUACUUGACAUGCCUGGAUUACUGCAAUCAGCACGUUCUUAGCACUUUCUUCUUUGGCUCCCCACCGCGCUCAGGUUGGCGUACGCUGAACUGGACCCUCGCUGCAAGAAUGGCACGUGGGAGUAAGUUUUAUUUGUGACGCGAUUUGGUUUAUCUUCCGCAGAAACUGUUAAGCUCACAAUGCUGAUAUGUUGUUGUCGGCCACGUGUGUAGAUUGACACCGCGAUCGUGGAACACAUGGCUGAUCUGCCUCGAAUAACUGCAAGCCGGUGCGUGCGUAGUGCCGUGGAGAACGAUCAGAAGUCCUGGACGACAAAGAAAAAAACUUCAAAGCUGCCUCUGCGAACCCCGCUCCUGGACAACAGCUGGGAGGCUCUGUGUUUAAACGCGUGCACCUUGGACGUCAUGCUCCUGCCUCUGCAAGCCCUUUUGCUGGACGCC